GGCCAGGGUAGUCCUAGUGAGGAGUCACAGGACUGUUUGAGUUGAGCAUGAUUCGGAUGAUCUGAUCCGGAUUGACAGUUUAACCCUGAGUCGUCCUAAACACAAGGGUCAAAAGGGAUGAAUUAUACAGUAACCAUAUUCACAUAGGUUUUGAGUGUUGCAAUUGUGACUAUUUGACCUAUCCGGAUGUCGGGUAUCAUUGCUAGAUGGUCACUUCGAUUAGUACAGAAAUUAGUUCCUGUGCUACCGGCUUAGGUUCGAACCUGUGGGGUCACACACAUUAGAAGUUCCUAUCUGAUCUGAUGGCUGGUGAAGAGUCCUACAUGUCUGAGAUUCUGUGAUCGAGAAUCAAGAUUCUCUGAUCAUGAGUCCCACACAUUUUGGGUACCGGGGUCAAGAGUCCCACUGGUUUGGGACUCUUCAAUCAAGAUUUCAUAUCGAUGGAUUUUGAUACCCGAUUGCCCAUCGGAUUUGGACUCAGUAUUUAUGAGAGGUUUAAUUAGUGAUUUGAUCACUAAUUAACUCAAUUUGAUUGAGUAAUUAUUUUUGGAUCAAGUCCAAUUGAAUUGGAUUCAGUUGGGUUUGACCUGAUUAGGUUAAGUGUUGACCUAAUC
rnacentral:lncRNA from 1 species